CAGCAGCCGCGGGAAUACGGAGGGUGCAAGCGUUAAUCGGAAUUACUGGGCGUAAAGCGCACGCAGGCGGUCUGUCAAGUCAGAUGUGAAAUCCCCGGGCUUAACCUGGGAACUGCAUUUGAAACUGGCAGGCUAGAGUCUUGUAGAGGGGGGUAGAAUUCCAGGUGUAGCGGUGAAAUGCGUAGAGAUCUGGAGGAAUACCGGUGGCGAAGGCGGCCCCCUGGACAAAGACUGACGCUCAGGUGCGAAAGCGUGGGGAGCAAACAGGAUUAGAUACCCCGGUAGUCCCUGUCUCUUAUAA
rnacentral:rRNA from 1 species